rnacentral:pre_miRNA from 1 species
UGCUCAGUAGCUAGUGUAGGAUCUGUUCCACAAUUACUACAGCUACAUCUGGUUACUGGGUCUC